rnacentral:rRNA from 1 species
UGCGUAGGUGGUUACCUAAGCGCAGGGUUUAAGGCAAUGGCUCAACCAUUGUUCGCCUUGCGAACUGGGCUACUUGAGUGCAGGAGAGGAAAGCGGAAUUCCUAGUGUAGCGGUGAAAUGCGUAGAUAUUAGGAGGAACACCAGUGGCGAAGGCGGCUUUCUGGACUGUAACUGACACUGAGGCACGAAAGCGUGGGGAGCAAACA